ensembl:snRNA U6 U6 spliceosomal RNA
GCUUGCUUGGACAGUGCUAAUAGUAAAAUUGGAAUGAUAUGGAGAAGAUUAGCAUGACUCUUGUACAAGAAUGACAUGCAAAUUUGUGAAGCAUUCCAUAUUCUA